UCUAAAACGGUUUCGUAUUCAGAGGUAGCACGUAAAUAUUGACCAUCAUAAUAUAACAUUUCAGCCAAUGCAAAAUGGAUUAUUGGAUCAUUUGGCUCUAGUUCAAGUGCUUCUUGUAAUUUAUCAAUAGCAACUUCCAUCAUAUUAAUUUGUUGAUAUAAAUCUGCUUCUAACAUCAACUUUUCAGGUGAUGGUUCAACAUAACU
rnacentral:sRNA from 1 species